AUUGAACGCUGGCGGCAGGCCUAACACAUGCAAGUCGAGCGGAGCGGCGGACGGGUGAGUAAUGCCUAGGAAUCUGCCUGGUAGUGGGGGAUAACGUCCGGAAACGGGAGCUAAUACCGCAUACUAUUAGAUGAGCCUAGGUCGGAUUAGCUAGUUGGUGGGGUAAAGGCCUAACAAGGCGACGAUGCGUCACUGGUCUGAGAGGCUGUGCAGUCAGACUUGAACUGAGACACGGUCCAGACUCCUACGGUAGGCAGCAGUGGGGAAUAUUGUACAAUUGGCGAAAGCCUGAGCCAGCCAUGCCGCUUGUGUGAAGAAGGUCUUCGGAUUUUAAAGCACUUUAAGUUGGGAGGCGUUACCAACAGAAUAAGCACCGGCUAACUUCGUGCCAGCAGCCGCGGUAAUAC
rnacentral:rRNA from 1 species